rnacentral:rRNA from 1 species
UGAGUAACCUGCCCUUAACUCUGGGAUAAGCCUGGGAAACUGGGUCUAAUACCGGAUAUGACUCCUCAUCGCAUGGUGGGGGGUGGAAAGCUUUUUGUGGUUUUGGAUGGACUCGCGGCCUAUCAGCUUGUUGGUGAGGUAAUGGCUCACCAAGGCGA